GAUGAACGCUGGCGGCGUGCCUAAUACAUGCAAGUCGAGCGAACAGACGAGGAGCUUGCUCCUCUGACGUUAGCGGCGGACGGGUGAGUAACACGUGGAUAACCUACCUAUAAGACUGGGAUAACUUCGGGAAACCGGAGCUAAUACCGGAUAAUAUAUUGAACCGCAUGGUUCAAUAGUGAAAGACGGUUUUGCUGUCACUUAUAGAUGGAUCCGCGCCGCAUUAGCUAGUUGGUAAGGUAACGGCUUACCAAGGCAACGAUGCGUAGCCGACCUGAGAGGGUGAUCGGCCACACUGGAACUGAGACACGGUCCAGACUCCUACGGGAGGCAGCAGUAGGGAAUCUUCCACAAUGGGCGCAAGCCUGACGGAGCAACGCCGCGUGAGUGAUGAAGGUCUUCGGAUCGUAAAACUCUGUUAUUAGGGAAGAACAACUGUGUAAGUAACUAUGCACGUCUUGACGGUACCUAAUCAGAAAGCCCCGGCUAACUACGUG
rnacentral:rRNA from 1 species